rnacentral:rRNA from 1 species
UACGGGGGGGGCAAGCGUUGUUCGGAAUUACUGGGCGUAAAGGGCGCGUAGGCGGCCUGCUAAGUCGGACGUGAAAUCCCUCGGCUCAACCGGGGAACUGCGUCCGAUACUGGCGAGGCUUGAAUCCGGGAGAGGGAUGUGGAAUUCCAGGUGUAGCGGUGAAAUGCGCAGAUAUCCGGAGGAACACCGGUGGCGAAGGCGGCUUCCUGGACCGACACUGACGCUGAGGCGCGAAAGCUAGGGGAGCAAACGGG